rnacentral:misc_RNA from 1 species
GUGAAGAACGCAGCGAAAUGCGAUAAGUAAUGUGAAUUGCAGAAUUCAGUGAAUCAUCGAAUCUUUGAACGCACAUUGCGCCCGCCAGUAUUCUGGCGGGCAUGCCUGUUCGAGCGUCAUUUCAACCAUCAAGCCCCAGGCUUGUGUUGGGGUCCUGCGGCUGCCGCAGGCCCUGAAAAACAGUGGCGGGCUCGCUGUCACACCGAGCGUAGUAAUACAUCUCGCUUUGGACGUGCGGCGGGUUCUUGCCGUUAAACACCCCCCUUCUCAAGGUUGACCUCGGAUCAGGUAGGAAUACCCGCUGAACUUAAGCAUAUCAAUAAGCGGAGGA